UACGUAGGAUGCGAGCGUUAAUCGGAAUUACUGGGCGUAAAGCGUGCGCAGGCGGCUUUGCAAGACAGAUGUGAAAUCCCCGGGCUCAACCUGGGAACUGCAUUUGUGACUGCAAGGCUAGAGUACGGCAGAGGGGGAUGGAAUUCCGCGUGUAGCAGUGAAAUGCGUAGAUAUGCGGAGGAACACCAAUGGCGAAGGCAAUC
rnacentral:rRNA from 1 species